rnacentral:tRNA from 1 species
AUUUUAUUAGUUUAAAAAAAAAACGUUGAUUUGUGGAAUCAAAAAAAAAAAAUUAAUUUUAUAAAAUU